CCCUUAGAUGUCCGGGGCCGCACGCGCGCUGCACUGAAGGAAUCAGCGUGGCUUUCUCCCUGACCCGAAAGGGUUGGGAAACCCGUUGAAUCUCCUUCGUGAUAGGGAUUGGGGCUUGAAAUUGUUCCCCAUGAACGAGGAAUUCCCAGUAAGCGCGAGUCAUAAGCUCGCGUUGAUUACGUCCCUGCCCUUUGUACACACCGCCCGUCGCUACUACCGAUUGAACGGUUUAGUGAGGGCCUCGGAUUGGUCUCGGCCCGCUCUUUACCGGGCGGCGCCGUUGGUCGAGAAGACGCUCGAACUUGAUCGUUAGAGGAAGUAAAAGUCGUAACA
rnacentral:rRNA from 1 species